rnacentral:rRNA from 1 species
AUUGAACGCUGGCGGCAUGCUUUACACAUGCAAGUCGAACGGUAACAGGCCGCAAGGUGCUGACGAGUGGCGAACGGGUGAGUAAUGCAUCGGAACGUGCCCAGUCGUGGGGGAUAACUACUCGAAAGAGUAGCUAAUACCGCAUACGAUCUAUGGAUGAAAGCGGGGGACCGUAAGGCCUCGCGCGAUUGGAGCGGCCGAUGUCAGAUUAGGUAGUUGGUGGGGUAAAGGCUCACCAAGCCAACGAUCUGUAGCUGGUCUGAGAGGGCGACCAGCCACACUGGGACUGAGACACGGCCCAGACUCCUACGGGAGGCAGCAGUGGGGAAUUUUGGACAAUGGGCGCAAGCCUGAUCCAGCAAUGCCGCGUGCAGGAAGAAGGCCUUCGGGUUGUAAACUGCUUUUGUACGGAACGAAACGGCUCUGGUUAAUACCCGGGGCUAAUGACGGUACCGUAAGAAUAAGCACCGGCUAACUACGUG